CUUGCUCUUCCUGUGUCUACAGGGAUACUGGCUUUAAACGGGCUCAGAACCCUUCCCUGCUGCACGCAGGCUACGCUGGCAUACCUGGCAGAGGAACAGCAGACAAAAGCCUCUGAGCCUGGGACUAACCACGGCCUCUGAUCUCAGCGGGAGCUCCAGCACGGAGACCUGAAGAGAUAAUGCUGGAUCUUCUGGGACCCUUUCCUCUCUUCCUGUUGCUGCUGGGAUCAUCGGGGCCAGGACUUGCCCCUGGUGCUUGGGCUCAACUCACUGGGUUUCAAAAGUUUAUAAUUCGGCAUAUGAGUGUAGGUCCUGUACGAUGCAACAAUGCAAUGC